CUAACUAAACGAAAACCGAAACCAUAGUCGUUUUUCGUUUUCAAAAGAUGGUUUUCGGCUAUCACUUCAGGAUGGGCCCGCGGUGCAUUAGCUAGUUGGUAAGGGUAACGGCUUACCAAGGCAAUGAUGCAUAGCCGAGUUGAGAGACUGAUCGGCCACAAUGGAACUGAGACACGGUCCAUACUCCUACGGGAGGCAGCAGUAGGGAAUCUUCCACAAUGGGCGCAAGCCUGAUGGAGCAACACCGCGUGAGUGAAGAAGGGUUUCGGCUCGUAAAGCUCUGUUGUUGGAGAAGAACGUGCGUGAGAGUAACUGUUCACGCAGUGACGGUAUCCAACCAGAAAGUCACGGCUAACUACGUGCC
rnacentral:rRNA from 1 species